rnacentral:sRNA from 1 species
CAAUGGAUUUCGAUGUCAGACUUGUGGCUACAAAUUUCAUGAGCACUGUAGCACCAAAGUACCUACUAUGUGUGUGGACUGGAGUAACAUCAGACAACUCUUAUUGUUUCCAAAUUCCACUAUUGGUGAUAGUGGAGUCCCAGCACUACCUUCUUUGACUAUGCGUCGUAUGCGAGAGUCUGUUUCCAGGAUGCCUGUUAGUUCUCAGCACAGAUAUUCUACACCUCACGCCUUCACCUUUAACACCUCCAGUCCCUCAUCUGAAGGUUCCCUCUCCCAGAGGCAGAGGUCGACGUCCACACCUAAUGUCCACAUGGUCAGCACUACCCUGCCUGUGGACAGCAGGAUGAUUGAGGAUGCAAUUCGAAGUCACAGCGAAUCAGGUACUUUUCCAUAGUCAUUUAGCCAACAAUAAUGGGCUUUUUUUCUUUAUGCGGUGUAUCUUCUGUUGGCUUAUCCUUGUGUGGAUUCUGUUUGUCUUGUCUAUUAAGCCUCACCUUCAGCCCUGUCCAGUAGCCCCAACAAUCUGAGCCCAACAGGCUGGUCACAGCCGAAAACCCCCGUGCCAGCAC